rnacentral:rRNA from 1 species
GGGGAAUAUUGGACAAUGGGCGCAAGCCUGAUCCAGCAAUGCCGCGUGAGUGAUGAAGGCCUUCGGGUUGUAAAACUCUUUCGACGGGGACGAUAAUGACGGUACCCGUAGAAGAAGCUCCGGCUAACUUCGUGCCAGCAGCCGCGGUAAUACGAAGGGGGCUAGCGUUGUUCGGAAUUACUGGGCGUAAAGCGCGCGCAGGCGGCUAUCCAAGUCAGUGGUGAAAGCCCGGAGCUCAACUCCGGAACUGCCAUUGAAACUGUUUAGCUUGAGGACGAGAGAGGUGAGUGGAAUUCCCAGUGUAGAGGUGAAAUUCGUAGAUAUUGGGAAGAACACCAGUGGCGAAGGCGGCUCACUGGCUCGUAUCUGACGCUCAGGCGCGAUAGCGUGGGGAUCAAAC